AGAGAGAGACAUGCGCGCAUAUCAAUAAGCGGAGGAAAAGAAACUAACUAGGAUUCCCUCAGUAACGGCGAGUGAAGCGGGAAGAGCUCAAAUUUGAAAUCUUCAAGGUUCUACCUUGACGAAUUGUAGUUUAAAGAAGUGUUUUCUGUUGGAGUUUUGGUAAAAGUUCUUUGGAAUAGGACAUCAUAGAGGGUGAGAAUCCCGUAUUUGACCGUUACUUUCAGCUGUGUGAUACACUUUCAAAGAGUCGGAUUGUUUGGGAAUGCAGUCCAAAAUGGGUGGUAAAUUUCAUCUAAAGCUAAAUAUUGGCGAGAGACCGAUAGCGAACAAGUACCGUGAGGGAAAGAUGAAAAGAACUUUGAAAAGAGAGUUAAACAGUACGUGAAAUUGUCAAAAGGGAAGCGUUUGACACCAGUGUUGUUUUCUCGAAAAUCUAUUAAAAAUGGCCAGGAUUUUGUGUUGUAUUGACCUUAUAAGCUUUCUGCACUCUUUUCUUGUCUUUUUUAAUGCACUUUUCGUUUAACAAGUCAACAUCAAUUUCUUUUGUUGUAAAAGGGUCAUUGGAAGGUGGCUUUCUUUUCGGAGAAAGUGUUUAUAGCCUUUGAUCUCUGCAAUCGGAGAGAUUGAGGUCUGCAGCGUAGAUCCUUCGGGGUUAGAUGCAUUUGUGCUAAGUUAUAGCCUUUCAUAGACAACUUGUUGACUAUGAUCAGUCAUGUAGCUUACUCGCUUGUGCUAUUUUACCUACGCUUAGGAUGUUGACAGCAGUAUAGACUGU
rnacentral:rRNA from 1 species